UACGAAGGGGGCUAGCGUUGCUCGGAAUCACUGGGCGUAAAGCGCACGUAGGCGGUCGUGUAAGUCAGCCGUGAAAGCCCUGGGCUUAACCCAGGAAGUGCGGCUGAUACUGCACGACUCGAGUCCCGGAGAGGAUGGUGGAAUUCCUGGUGUAGAGGUGAAAUGCGCAGAUAUCAGGAGGAACACCGAUGGCGAAGGCAGGUCUCUGGGCAUUAACUGACGCUGAGGAGCGAAAGCAUGGGGGAGCGAACAGG
rnacentral:rRNA from 1 species